AGCAGGGACGGAUUCAAGGGGGGACGAGGGGGGGCGAGACCCCCCCUAACGAUCGUGCCGCACCUUAAUAGCGAUCAGUUGGUCGCUAAUUUUGUUGGCUACGCAAGUGUACGUGGCUUGCUUCGCCCCCCCUGUGUGAUUUGUGCUUCCCAUAGCCAGCGAGGGCCCAUGUAAUGGUGAUCAGUUGAUUGCAGCCUAAAGGCCCAAAUCCCAGAAAAAUAAAAAGGAAACAUAGCCCAUCAUGAAAGCGAAGGGGCCAGGCUACGAAGCAGUACCCACUAAUCCCUUCGAUUCCAACCUAAAAGAACUGCUCCAGAGAUCGCGCCGGCCGUCGGCCGCCUGCUAGAUCUUCUGUCUAAUCUAUCCAUCCAGAAGGGAAGGCGACAUGAAAGUGUCAUUGUGUCGAUCCAGCAGCUCAUUCUGUCCGGCCGGCCUCAUGGAUGGAUGAGCUACCUAACGAGGAAACAAGGUUUAGUUUUUAUUUCCAGCAUUAGAUUUGGUUGUGUCUUUCAAACCAUAAAAGGAGCGAUUCUAGAAUUAGAGAUAUUAACAGCUUGCUCACAUGAUUUGACCCUGAAUUCCCAAUAUCGCGGCCGCUUGUGGCGAUCAGCCACAUGGAUCGUUGUAUCUUUUCUCCACCCAAACUUGAUUGCGGCCGCUCAUCUCAGUUGACAGCAUUAGAUCGUUUCUCUAGGUAUAACCAUAGUAUUAAUCAGACUGGUAUUAAUAUAUACUUUUUGACAUCAACGUAUUAUUGAUCUGGCCUGAUACGGUGAUCCCUAAUGCAUUAGUUAGUAGCAAUUCUGAAGUUGCAGUAACAUGUGUUCUCGGUGAUAGAUAUAGAUCUAAUUUAAUAUACUUAUCUUUUAUCUCUGUUUAGCUGUACUUCUCUACACAAAAAAUAAAUAGAAAGAAAAGAACAUAUUGCUACUUUCAAGCCAUCUGCUUCUUGUUCAAACUCUUUGUACUGCAAAUCCAAAUUCAACUUGCUAAUCUUAUGAUCAUAUAGGUAAUCAUAGAGCUAAUUUACAUUGACAGUUGCAAAACAUGUGCUAUUUUUAUACAUUAAUUAAUACUUGUGCAACUGUUGCAAAGUAUACAUUUGACAUUUUACGUGAGACUUGAUAUACAUAUUAUUAUGUGUGUGACAAUUAUCUCUUUUUGGGGUAAAAUAAGACGGUUAUCUCUUUUUGGGGUAAAAAAAGACAGUUAUCUCUUUCGCCCCCCCUAUGUUCAAAUCCUGGCUCCGUCCCUGA
rnacentral:lncRNA from 1 species